AGAGUUUGAUCAUGGCUCAGAUUGAACGCUGGCGGCAGGCCUAACACAUGCAAGUCGAACGGUAACAGGAAGCAGCUUGCUGCUUUGCUGACGAGUGGCGGACGGGUGAGUAAUGUCUGGGAAACUGCCUGAUGGAGGGGGAUAACUACUGGAAACGGUGGCUAAUACCGCAUAACGUCGCAAGACCAAAGAGGGGGACCUUCGGGCCUCUUGCCAUCAGAUGUGCCCAGAUGGGAUUAGCUUGUUGGUGAGGUAACGGCUCACCAAGGCGACGAUCCCUAGCUGGUCUGAGAGGAUGACCAGCCACACUGGAACUGAGACACGGUCCAGACUCCUACGGGAGGCAGCAGUGGGGAAUAUUGCACAAUGGGCGCAAGCCUGAUGCAGCCAUGCCGCGUGUAUGAAGAAGGCCUUCGGGUUGUAAAGUACUUUCAGCGAGGAGGAAGGCGUUGUGGUUAAUAACCACAGCGAUUGACGUUACUCGCAGAAGAAGCACCGGCUAACUCCGUGCCAGCAGCCGCGGUAAUACGGAGGGUGCAAGCGUUAAUCGGAAUUACUGGGCGUAAAGCGCACGCAGGCGGUUUGUUAAGUCUGAUGUGAAAUCCCCGGGCUCAACCUGGGAACUGCAUUCGAAACUGGCAGGCUUGAGUCUUGAAGAGGGGGGUAGAAUUCCAGGUGUAGCGGUGAAAUGCGUAGAGAUCUGGAGGAAUACCGUUGGCGAAGGCGCCCCCCUGGACAAAGUCUGUCGCUCAGGUGCGAAAGCGUGGGGAGCAAACAGGAUUAGAUACCCUGGAAGUCCACGCCGUAAACGAUGAGUGCUAAGUGUUAGGGGGUUUCCGCCCCUUAGUGCUACAGCUCACGCAUUAAGCACUC
rnacentral:rRNA from 1 species